CCUACGGGGGGCAGCAGUGAGGAAUAUUGGUCAAUGGCCGGAAGGCUGAACCAGCCGAGCCGCGUGAAGGACGAAGGUGCCAAGCAUUGUAAACUUCUUUUGUCAAGGGACAAAAUCAGGCUCGAGAGCCUGACCGAGGGUACUUGAAGAAAAAGCAUCGGCUAACUCCGUGCCAGCAGCCGCGGUAAUACGGAGGAUGCGAGCGUUAUCCGGAUUUAUUGGGUUUAAAGGGUGCGUAGGCGGACUGUUAAGUCAGCGGUAAAAGCCCGGGGCUCAACCCCGGCGAGCCGUUGAAACUGGCUGUCGUGAGAUGUCGAGAGCUAUGCGGAAUGCGCAGUGUAGCGGUGAAAUGCUUAGAUAUUGCGCAGAACUCCGAUUGCGAAGGCAGCAUACCGGCGGCGAUCUGACGCUGAGGCACGAAAGCGUGGGUAUCGAACAGGAUUAGAUACCCGAGUAGUC
rnacentral:rRNA from 1 species